ACGUAAACUAACAACGCAAACUUCCUGUACACACGUUUCAAUAGUACGCAAUUCUUUUUCACUCUCACCAUUAUUCUAAUCACACCCGUCACCGGUAUCACCAUUUACAUUAAUAAUACAGACACCCACUAACAUAUCGAUUGAGAUAUCGAUAAAAAGAUAUUCUUCCUCGCUUCUUUGCAUCGAGACAUCGGUAUUCUAUCCUCUUUGCUCACACAGUUCGGCUACCCGCACUGUAUGGCCUUCGAAACGUAUGUAGUAUUCUGUGAUAUUUUCUUUAAGACACGUUCCGUAUCGACUCCAAUGGAUCGAGAUUUAUUCGCCUUAAAGAAGGCACAAAAGAGGUGAACUACGUCAAUGAAUAUCAAGCACUUUAACAUUCACAAGGCAACAGACGUCUCGAACCAACUGAUCUGUCAUCUUAUUCCCAGGACUAAUGAUUAUAAGUCAUGAUGUGGGCAACACCAUGCUAAAUUAAUUUCUUUUCCAAUUCCUACUCCAGUGAGAUCUCAGAGAAUCAUUUUUAGAUUUGGUCAAGAAAGUAGUGCAGUGGCCAGCGAACACGUGGUGUCCCCUAGACAAACACUGAACAAUCAACAAAUAAGCUCAGAUAAUUGCCCUUCCAGAAACUAAACUAAUUUCAAUAUGUCAGUGUGUAACGGAACAGUGGUCAGAGAGAUAAUGAAAAGAUGACGAUAACAAAUAUGGGCAAAGAAAUAACUCAUGAAGUGACUCAUUCCUGUAAAUUUAUUUAUUUAUAGUUUAUUUAAUUUAUUUAUAGUUUAUUUAACGACGCUUUAAUAGUAGCUCAGACUAUAUGGCAUCGGAUGAGAGGAUGAUAGUGAAGGAACACGUUUCAAAAGUAAAACAUUAAAUUAUAAAAUGAAUUAAUGUACAUGGCAUAUCAACUAAUGGAUUAAGUUUAUGUAAUCAUCUUGUUUAAGGUUACAUCAGAAAUCAGAGGUCAACAUCUCACCUCUCAAAUUCACACUAAUUUUGAAUUUGAAUUUUCAUGAAUAAUGAACAUAUCAGAGCUUCUGAACAUGAUGCAAUUGACCUGAAAAAUACCAACCCAGUUACGAUUCCCAAUAUUCACAGACGUAACACACUGAUAUGGCAGUUUAUCCCAGUUUGCUAUUCCAAAAUAAAUUCCUGAAAUUAAUCCAAUAUCAAAUAUUGUAAUAAAUAUAGUAGAAUAUAUUUAUACAAGUUUCUAGCACCAAGAUCUCAUGAAUCAUCAUUCAUCAUAUUUUAUGUUUUUAAACUUCAGCACCACACAAAUGAAACAAUAACUAAUCACUUUUAACCCCCCACCCCGCCCCCAGUUCCUCAAAAGGCUCUUAAAACAAAUAAAUAUCCUUUGAACAGUGUAGGGAAAUGCAUACAACAUUCUCUCUUUGGUUCAUGCCUCUCACAUACAGAGCAUUCAAUAAAACUGAAUAUAAUAUUCUA